GCGCUCGCCUUGGCUGCACAUAUACCAAAAUUCGAAAUAUACAGAGAAGAUUAGCAUGGCCCCUGUGCAAGGAUGGCAUGUAAAUUCGUGACGCGUCCCAUAUUUUU
rnacentral:snRNA from 1 species